UUGUAAAGACCAGAGAGGUAUGGUAAAGCAUAGGAAGGUUUGUAAAGACCAGAGAGGUCUGGUAAAGCAUAGGGAAGGUUUGUAAAGACCAGAGAGGUAUGGUAAAGCAUAGGGAAGGUUUGUAAAGACCAGAGAGGUAUGGUAAAGCAUAGGAAGGUUUGUAAAGACCAGAGAGGUAUGGUAAAGCAUAGGAAGG